rnacentral:misc_RNA from 1 species
UGCUUUGUGGAACUGUCUUGGCCAAUGGCGUGGCAUGUUUGAGAGAUAUGAUAGAGAUAGAAGUGGGAGAAUUGAUGCAUUGGAAAUGAGGGAUGCACUCUAUGGUCUUGGCUAUGCAGUUCCAUCUUCAGUCCUUCAACUUUUAAUUUCACUAUAUGAUGAUCAAAGUGGCCAACGAGUAGAAUUUAAUUUUGACAGUUUUGUUGAAUGUGGCAUGAUAGUAAAGGGUUUGACUGAGAAGUUCAAGGAGAAGGA